rnacentral:rRNA from 1 species
GGCAACCCUGACGGAGCAACGCCGCGUGUGGGAGGACGGCCUUCGGGUUGUAAACCACUUUUCUCAGGGAAGAAGGACUGACGGUACCUGAGGAAUAAGCCUCGGCUAACUCCGUGCCAGCAGCCGCGGUAAGACGGAGGAGGCAAGCGUUAUCCGGAAUUAUUGGGCGUAGAGCGUCCGUAGGUGGUUAUUCAAGUCUGCUGUCAAAGCGUGGGGCUUAACUCCAUAGAGGCAGUGGAAACUGGAUGACUUGAGUGCGGUAGGGGUCGAGGGAAUUCCCAGUGUAGCGGUGAAAUGCGUAGAUAUUGGGAAGAACACCAGUGGCGAAAGCGCUCGACUGGGCCUGCACUGACACUGAGGGACGAAGGCUAGGGGAGCG